GAUGAACGCUGGCGGCGUGCCUAAUACAUGCAAGUCGAGCGAACGGACGAGAAGCUUGCUUCUCUGAUGUUAGCGGCGGACGGGUGAGUAACACGUGGAUAACCUACCUAUAAGACUGGGAUAACUUCGGGAAACCGGAGCUAAUACCGGAUAAUAUUUUGAACCGCAUGGUUCAAAAGUGAAAGACGGUCUUGCUGUCACUUAUAGAUGGAUCCGCGCUGCAUUAGCUAGUUGGUAAGGUAACGGCUUACCAAGGCAACGAUGCAUAGCCGACCUGAGAGGGUGAUCGGCCACACUGGAACUGAGACACGGUCCAGACUCCUACGGGAGGCAGCAGUAGGGAAUCUUCCGCAAUGGGCGAAAGCCUGACGGAGCAACGCCGCGUGAGUGAUGAAGGUCUUCGGAUCGUAAAACUCUGUUAUUAGGGAAGAACAUAUGUGUAAGUAACUGUGCACAUCUUGACGGUACCUAAUCAGAAAGCCACGGCUAACUACGUGCCAGCAGCCGCGGUAAUACGUAGGUGGCAAGCGUUAUCCGGAANUUAUGGGCGUAAAGCGCGCGUAGGCGGUUUUUUAAGUCUGAAGUUAAGGCUGUGGCUUAACCAUAGUACGCUUUGGAAACUGUUUAACUUGAGUGCAGAAGGGGAGAGUGGAAUUCCAUGUGUAGCGGUGAAAUGCGUAGAUAUAUGGAGGAACACCGGUGGCGAAAGCGGCUCUCUGGUCUGUAACUGACGCUGAGGCUCGAAAGCGUGGGGAGCGAACAGGAUUAGAUACCCUGGUAGUCCACGCCGUAAACGAUGAGUGCUAGGUGUUAGGCCCUUUCCGGGGCUUAGUGCCGCAGCUAACGCAUUAAGCACUCCGCCUGGGGAGUACGACCGCAAGGUUGAAACUCAAAGGAAUUGACGGGGGCCCGCACAAGCGGUGGAGCAUGUGGUUUAAUUCGAAGCAACGCGAAGAACCUUACCAGGUCUUGACAUCCCGAUGCCCGCUCUAGAGAUAGAGUUUUACUUCGGUACAUCGGUGACAGGUGGUGCAUGGUUGUCGUCAGCUCGUGUCGUGAGAUGUUGGGUUAAGUCCCGCAACGAGCGCAACCCUUAUUGUUAGUUGCCAUCAUUCAGUUGGGCACUCUAGCGAGACUGCCGGUAAUAAACCGGGGGAAGGUGGGGAUGACGUCAAAUCAUCAUGCCCCUUAUGACCUGGGCUACACACGUGCUACAAUGGCUGGUACAACGAGUCGCAAGUCGGUGACGGCAAGCUAAUCUCUUAAAGCCAGUCUCAGUUCGGAUUGUAGGCUGCAACUCGCCUACAUGAAGUCGGAAUCGCUAGUAAUCGCGGAUCAGCACGCCGCGGUGAAUACGUUCCCGGGCCU
rnacentral:rRNA from 1 species